ACACUUACCUGGCAGGGGAGAUAUCAUGAUCAUAAAGGUGGUUUUCCCAGGGUAAAGCUCAUCCAUUGCACUCCAGGAGUGUGGCUGCUAACAACUGUUCAAAACUCUAGUUCCAGGGGAAUCUGAUGCCUUCUUCUGACCUCCCCA
rnacentral:snRNA from 1 species